rnacentral:rRNA from 1 species
GACAGAGGGUGCGAGCGUUGUUCGGAAUCAUUGGGCGUAAAGCGCACGUAGGCGGCUUUGCAAGUCGGACGUGAAAUCCCUCAGCUCAACUGAGGACGUGCAUCCGAAACUGCAAGGCUUGAGUACUGAAGAGGAUCGCGGAAUUCCCGGUGUAGAGGUGAAAUUCGUAGAUAUCGGGAGGAACACCAGUGGCGAAGGCGGCGAUCUGGGCAGAUACUGACGCUGAGGUGCGAAAGCGUGGGGAGCAAACGGG